rnacentral:rRNA from 1 species
UACAGAGACCCCGAGCGUUAUCCGGAAUUACUGGGCGUAAAGGACAAGUAGUCGGUAGUUAUAGUCUGAUGUUAAAUUUCAUCGCUCAACGGUGAAGCCGCAUCAGAAACGUAACUUCUAGAGCGAGUCAGGGGCAAGCGGAACGUGUGGUGUAGCGGUGAAAUGCAUUGAUAUCACGCGGAACACCUAAAGCGAAGGCAGCUUGCUGGGGCUUUGCUGACGAUCAAUUGUGAAAGCGUGGGGAUCAAAAAGG